UCCUGGACCAAGUCAAGCCCAAGUCCAAAAACCUAACCUGCAUCGAUUCUGUAAUCGUCGUUGCCACUUCGUCUUCGACACCUCAGUUCUGUAAUCGCCGUUACCACCACCACCUCGGCACCUCCUGAUCAAUAAAUGAGCUCUUUAAUCCGUCCUUUAUAACGUUUCACCUCACUUUGAUCCCCUUAUAAAUUGCUUCUUCUAAACCUAAAACCACCCGAAAUCCAAAACAUCCACUGAAAAGCACAGCUAUGGCCAGUAAAUCCACCGGAAAUUCUCCCUUCUCUGAUUAUUUCAAGAACAUGACCAGCAGUAUUUGAGCUACAAUUUCGGUUGAACCGUUUCUGGGACGCUAGAUACAUUGCAAAUGGUGGGAGCUUUAUUGGGUUAGAGCUACUCCUCAUCGACAAACAGAGUACUUGAAUAAAUCAAUGUUAAUACCGAAGAAUACAUCUGAUUUAAUUCGUCCAGUCUCAGGACGGCCUCGCGUCAGACUUAUCACUGCACAAGAGCCUAGAAUCGAGAAUAAAGUGGAAAAACCAGCAAUUCUCAUGUUGCUCUGCCGCCUAUAGCAAAAUAUGUUCCCAUCACAAUGAUCCAUGUCAUGUUCUUGCACCAACAGAAGAGAAAGUAUAUGAAGACAGCUAACUUCGGGAGUUGAUUGACACCCCGGCACUUGACUGGUAGAGGGCUGCUUUUGCAAAGGAAAUGGAGGGAUUGCCAUCAACAACACGCUCUGUACGAGAAGUUCCGCCUGAGCUAAAAUGUCCGCUAUGCAAAGAAGUAAUGGAAGAUGAUGCACUUACAAGCUGGUCAUGUUGUUUCCAGAGCUUCUGUGCGACAAGUAAAGUACUGCAGUUUCAGUAUCUGUUCUUCCUCUCAGUUUUCGUGAAUUCUUAAACCUCAAAGUAAAGCAAGGAGUGACUGGAGUCUAGGGAAUGCUCAGUCAUGUGAUAUAGAGUUCUUCUAUACAAUAGAAAGUGAACAUCACUAAAACUAAAGCAAGUAUUUUGGAUUUGUUUUAAGGGUUAUAGUUCUUUUAUGUUUAGUUAAAGUGACCCAUUUGAAUCUAGAUAUGAUUGAACGUUGAUGAAUAUGAUUCGAGCAAUUCUCUAAUAUGUUAUAGUUUCUCUUA